GAUGAACGCUCGCUGUGUGCCUAAUACAUGCAUGUUGAACGGGAUGUAGCAAUACAUUCAGUAGCGAAUGGGUGAGUAACACGUACCUAACCUACCUUUAAGACUGGGAUAACUAUUGGAAACAAUAGCUAAUACCGGAUAUAGUUAUUUAUCGCAUGAUGAGUAAUAGAAAGGAGCUUCACAGCUUCACUUAAAAAUGGGGGUGCGGAACAUUAGUUAGUUGGUAGGGUAAUGGCCUACCAAGACGAUGAUGUUUAGCCGGGCCGAGAGGCUGUACGGCCACACUGGGACUGAGAUACGGCCCAGACUCCUACGGGAGGCAGCAGUAAGGAAUUUUCCACAAUGAGCGAAAGCUUGAUGGAGCGACACAGCGUGCAGGAUGAAGUUCUUCGGAAUGUAAACUGCUGUUAUAAGGGAAGAAAAAAUAGAAUAGGAAAUGAUUUUAUCUUGACGGUACCUUAUUAGAAAGCGACGGCAAACUAUGUGCCAGCAGCUGCGGUAAUACAUAGGUCGCAAGCGUUAUCCGGAAUUAUUGGGCGUAAAGCGUCCGUAGGUUUUUUGCUAAGUCUGGAGUUAAAUGCUGAAGCUCAACUUCAGUCCGCUUUGGAUACUGGCAAAAUAGAAUUAUAAAGAGGUUAGCGGAAUUCCUAGUGAAGCGGUGGAAUGCGUAGAUAUUAGGAAGAACACCAAUAGGCGAAGGCAGCUAACUGGUUAUAUAUUGACACUAAGGGACGAAAGCGUGGGGAGCAAACAGG
rnacentral:rRNA from 1 species